CCUUUGUGAUGAUUCCUAUUCAGUUCUGCUUCCGAAAGAGCCUGGCUCUUGUGGACAACGACAUACCAAAAACUCUUCUGACCU
rnacentral:snoRNA from 1 species